rnacentral:rRNA from 1 species
ACAGCAGCAGCCACGGUAAUACAUAGGUGGCAAGCGUUGUCCGGAAUUAUUGGGCGUAAAGGGCUCGCAGGCGGUUUCUUAAGUCUGAUGUGAAAGCCCCCGGCUCAACCGGGGAGGGUUAUUGGAAACUGGGAAACUUGAGUGCAGAAGGGGAGAGUGGAAUUCCACGUGUAGCGGUGAAAUGCGUAGAGAUGUGGAGGAACACCAGUGGCGAAGGCGACUCUCUGGUCUGUAACUGACGCUGAGGAGCGAAAGCGUGGGGAGCGAACAGGAUUAGAUACCCCAGUAGUCCCUGUCUCUUAUAC